CAACUGGCUUUUUUGAAAGCCACAAAGAUGCUCUGAAAGACCUGU
rfam:Cricetulus griseus cell line CHO-K1, whole genome shotgun sequence.